rnacentral:ncRNA from 1 species
GAGAGCCGUAUGACGUGAGAGCGUCACGUACGGUUCGGAGAGCGGCUCCGGGUGCAACUCCCGGGCCGACUCACC